rnacentral:rRNA from 1 species
GACGGAGGAUGCAAGUGUUAUCCGGAAUCACUGGGCGUAAAGCGUCUGUAGGUGGUCAAAUAAGUCAACUGUUAAAUCUUGAGGCUCAACCUCAAAAUCGCAGUCGAAACUAUUAGACUAGAGUAUAGUAGGGGUAAAGGGAAUUUCCAGUGGAGCGGUGAAAUGCGUAGAGAUUGGAAAGAACACCGAUGGCGAAGGCGCUUUACUGGGCUAUUACUAACACUCAGAGACGAAAGCUAGGGUAGCAAAUGGG